UCCGUUUUCUAUCUGCCUAAGAGAGCUGGGUGGUGCGGGGGUGGGGGGACACACAGUGCUCUGGAUGUGGGGAAGUGGACCCAGGAGGGAGGAGGUGAGGCUGGGUCUCUGGGGCUUUGUCUAGGGCUUGUCUCUUUGGGGACCCUGAGCUUCAGAGUGGAGUCACUGUGGCACUUCCAGGCCAGGCGGGGGCAGGAUGGUGGUCAUGGCUGAGCAGGGGCCCAUCCAGCCAUCCAUCCUAGAGGGUGGGGGAGGGGGUGGGCAUCAGGGGUGUUGCCCGGCCUGGGACACUGAACUAGAGGAGUGGGGAGACUGGCGGCAGGGACAGUAGCCGCUUCCCCUCCUGCCCAGGGGACCCACAGUGUCCUCUUGCUGGAAGUGGCCCGGACUCUGUUGUCUCCCUGAUUCUCAUCCGGAAACCUCUGCACUGCCCCGAGGAAGGCCCUCUCUUGGGGCUCUGCUUUUCUGGGGGCACACCUGUGCAGACCCUGACCCGUGGCAGAGUCAGGCGGGGGGCUCUGGGGUAUCUGCUGGGGAAGUGUCACUGUGGCCAGUGUCACUACUUCCCCCUCCCCACCGCUGGGAGGAUCUGGUUCAUGGUCAGGCCCUGGCGCCCAGGCUUUGGGUGGGAGAGAUCGCCCCACAUCUCCCCUACCACCGGCUGGGGCCUGGACCACCUCGGCCCGGUGAUAGAAAUUGCACCUUCCAACACUUCCUCGCAUUUCUCCAGCGCUGCCCUGGCUGGGGGCGUCCUGGGAGGAGACCAGGGGGUGCAGGGUGAGUUUGGGGACGGGGAGCAGAUCUCUGAGCAGGCACGAGAAGAAGCUCUAGGAUGUUGGGCAGAAAAGGAAGAUUCAACCAUGGUCAAGUGAGUUAACCUUGCUCUGUCGUGACCUUAUGGGCAGCCGUGAGGACCUGGAGAUGCCGCACCUGGUGUGUACUUCGUGUUCAAGGAAAGUGUGGUGUUAUCAGUAUCGGAGAGUGGCCUCUCAUGACCUUGUCUCACCCCCUCACUUCUCACGGGGGAAACCAAGGCUCAGAGAGGGCGUGGGCCCUCUCCUGGGUCACACAGCGCUCAGAGACGGCUGGGCCGGCGCCUCCCCAGGGUGGGUCCCUUGGGGCAGCCUCCAUUGUGCUCUCCCCAGCAGGAAACGCUGUGCUCAGCAGCCUGGGCAGAGAGAGAAGAGGAACAAGUUUGACUACGUGACCGGGAGGCCCUGGAGGCUGAGCUAGGCCCAGUGCCUGGAAAACAACCUGCCGGGGGGGCCCCCUGGGCAGGGCAGUGGGGUGGGCACCAGGAUGGAAACCUCCCUGCCUAGAGAGGGAGAAGUGGGCUGAGAUGUGGCCUUACGCUGGGGAGGUGCUGGGUGGCGGCCUCAGGGCCCUGUGCGCCAAACCCGCCAGCAAGGGGGCAGCUGGUCGGUCCUCCGAUGCUCCCCAACACAUGGCUGCUCAGGGGAGGGGCGGGCACGGGGAUGGGCAGAGGGGCCGAUGGGUACGUGUGGCACCUGGGGGCGAUUUGCACAGGCUGCUGGCCUGCUCAUCCGCUCCAGUUACAGAGAUUUGUGUGCGCAAGCAAGCGGCGGGAGGGCUCGGCCCCCAAGAGGCCCAGUGCCCAGGGAGACAAGGCCCAAGGGAAGAGAGCUGGGCCUCUGCUGGGAUGCCCACCACAGGACCUGGAGAAAUGUAGAGUCCCUCUCUGGGCCUAGUUCCCCUUGGGGACCCGUGAAACCACUGUGUCCCUCACUUCUAGACGAGACACAGGGCUGACCUGGGGCUGGGAAGCCAGCUGUGAGGAGCAGGCUGCGUAGCGUGUAGGCCCAGGUGGUCUGUGGCGUGGACGGUCACUGCGGGGAGGACACUGAAUGCCAGAGCAAGCAGCCAGGACUUAUCAGGAGGCCAAGUGGAGCCACUGAAGCAUUCAGCACAAGGGUGGGUGGUGGUCAGAUGAGGCUGCUGGGAGGGGCCAGACUGGAGGCUGGGAGGCCCGAGGGGAGGCCACAGCUCGAGCAGCAGUGGGGGGAUGGGGUCAGGAAAAGUUGGGAGGGGACAUGGUUUCCUGGAGGCUGAGUGGGUGAAAUUGAAAGUGCAGACCCUGGUGGCGGCUGUCGGGUCCACUCCUGGCUCCUGCUCCAGCCGCGCGAUGUCCUGACGGUCUGGAAAACCCCCUGCGUCUUGUUCUUUGUACGUAAAACAAAAGCGAGGUUGGAACGGGUUCAGAACAGAGAAACCCCUUGCCUCUCUCUCUGGACAUCCCAGCGCCAAAAGCUCUGGCCAGAGGAUGCUCAGAGUCGGGCAACAGGGCGCAAGGAGGCAGGGAAUAUGCACAGCACGAGGAGGCAGAGCUGUCACCUGGACAGCAGGGAGGCUGGCGGGCGAGGAAGCAGGUAUCCCUUGGGGCAGGGGCCCAGGGGCCCAAGGUGGUCCUGUGAGCUGGAGACGGCAGGCAUUGGGCAGAACCUCAACUGGGGGGCCUGAACCCCAAUUGGUGUCAUUAGGGGAGCCAGCUGUGCAGCCGUGAGCCAUUGCUUAAGGAAAUGAAACUCGGGGAGGCGGCAGGAAUAAAACAUCCUGUCUGGAUGACGAGAAUGCCACAGGGCCAGCCACAACCCUCCGCUUCGCUGCUGGUCUCUUCUGCAGCUGCUGCCCCCCCAGGCUGUGAUCCCCAACUUCUCCCCACUCCUCUGCCCUCUGAGAGAUGGGGACAGGUGCCCCACAGGAUGGAUAUCUCUCCGCUGACCACACGUCCCCUUGGACUCUCUCUAAGCCUGGUUUCCUCAUCUGUAAAAUGGGGCUAUAAUGAUGCUUGCCCCAGAGGGUCAAUGGGAGGAAUAAAUUAAACCACGUGCAAGGGGGCAUGGCAUAUACAAAGCGCCUGGGACUUCUGGCUGCUGGUGUGAUCUGGUGUCACACCACACAGGGGCCCUGAGAGGCAGAGACACUCUGCACAUCGUACAGAAGAGGAAAACUGGGGCACGGCGAGUUGAAGGGAUGUGCCCAUGAUCACACUGCAGUUCUAACCACAUAGCUCCCCAGCCUGGGUUCUUGCCAUGGUGCUGCCUGGCAGUGUGGAAGGGAAUGGGUGGGAGUAGAUUGGGUGCAGUGUCCACAUACCCUUCACCCGGGCCCCAGCGCCCUCCUCCUCUCUCUCCUGGCCCGUCUCCCCACCCCUGCCAAAGGCAGGCCCUCAGAGGGCUCAGGUCUGCAGCCCCAUGAGCAUCCCUUUCUGACUCCCGCGUCCCUCCUUGGGCUACAGUGCCUCUCUUAGGUCUAACCUGAGUCCUCCCCGUGUUAGCUAUGGCCCGCUUCCCCCCAACCUGCCUUGUGGGCUGGCAAAUGGCAGCCACUCUUAUUGAGAUGCACCCCCGGCCCCCUGAUGCAGAAAAGAGGUCACCAACCCCUUCUCCAGGGCAUCGUCCUUUCUGGCCCAGGGGUCCCCUGAAGCUCUACCAGCCUCCCCGGCAGGAGGAGCCGCAGCUCCUCAGACUCAGAGAAGUCACCGUGAGCCCAAGAGAGAAAUCAGGCAGAGCAGGAAAUCAGACAUCUGGUUCUGAGCAAAGGUCCAGAGCCCUAUUCCUCCAGCUAGCACUUCUGGUGCCUAAAUCCAGCAGGGCAAGAGUAUAAGAUGCCAAGUGGGGCCAGGCAGGAGCCAGCUUCCCCAGCACACCUGGCCAGGUGAGCAGGCGGUGGAGCCAAGAGCCAGCUCAUCGCUUGGGUGUAAACAGCAGCCCAGUGGGAAGUUGGCAGCCACCUCCUGUGCCCUUUCCCCAGCCCCGUCCCCACGAGCCCCACCCCAGGGAAAGAGGGUGUCCCAACUUGUUGGAGGAGUUUCCAUCUCACAGCUGUGUCCAUACCGGGUGGGUGUGUGGGGUGGCUGAAGGGGCCCACAGACAAUCUUUGUCCUCCAGACCCACCCCCUUCUUCUCUGGUGCUGGGACGGCGCCAGGGUUCUUGGAAUGCCGAGGCCCCCCUUGCACCCACCCCACCCCAGAUGCCUCUGCCACUCACUCCCAGGGCCCACGCCAGCAGAGCAGAGCAAGGGCAGUCUGUGAGCAGGAUCGUGCCCUGAGGGGGGUGCCCCUUGGCUCCUGUUCCCACCAGAUGGGAGCCGUAUCCCUUGGAAGAAAGGGUGCAGCUCCAAGGUGUCCAGAAGGAGGAAGAAAACAAGUCUCCAUCAAGCCCUGCAUUUUACAGACAUGAUCUGGGAGAUGGGGAUUGCCACCCCUACUUUAAAGAUGGGGAAACUAAGGCUAGACCAGCAGUUGUAUGAGGGCUUGGACUCUCUCUGCCUUGUUUUCCCCUGUCUCCCUGGUACCUGGCACACAGCAAGAGCUCAUGGUGUGCUUGUGGAGUGGAUGAAUGAGGCUCAGAGAGGGCAAGUGACCUGGCCAGAAAGUUGCUCAACGGGGAAUCAACCCAGUUUGAAUCCUAAAGCCAGGCUGUUCCUGAGACCCACCCACUGAGGUGGGGUAGCACUCGUGCAUGCAUGAAUGUGCACCCACCCUGCUGUGAGAGUCCUGUCCACGCUCAUAUACACACCUACACUCACAGCCCUCAGCCGAGAGCCCCCACCUGCCACCCCACUCAAGCCCAGUGGUGGGCCCUCUCCCACCCCCUGCCACCUCUGGCAGGCACUCAAACUUCCUUCUGCACUGGUCUCACACCCUCCUCUGUCACCACCCCCCUCCUCCACUCCUGGAGAAGGCAGGAUGGUGCAUGCCCUCUUCCACCCCCACAGCCCUGGCGCCCUGGCGCCCUGUCUUCCUCCUCAGGCCCCAGUAGCCACACUGGCACCACUGCGCUGGAGAAGACUGGGGAAGCACAGAACGUCAGAGCAGGGGCGCAAUGUGCAGACGGACGGUCAGCCUCGGGCCAAGGACCGGGCAGCAUGAGGGCCACCGUGGUAGAGCUGGUACCCAGGCAGAGUCGGGGGCCUGGCUGUCUGCAGGGCAGUUCCAAGACUGGGGGCCACCUCCCUGCUGUGUCACAAGGUCGAGCCCCAGGGAGCAGCUGACACUGCAGACCUGAAGGACCAGAACCUCUUCCUGCUUUGCGCAACCCCAGACCUGCUGGGGGGUCAGCUGGGGUCUCAGGUCUCCAGGCAAGGGGGCCGGGGACUCUCUCCAAAGCAGGUUGAACCUGCCGUGUGGCCCUCCUGCUUCCCCACUAAUAAAGGGCCCACAGGGCAGGGGUGGUCAGGGAGGCAGGGACCCCUGCAAGUACAGAUGGCACGUGCCAGACUACGCUUGAGACCCUCCUCAGUUUUUCACUGACCCUCACAGCAACCCUGGGAGACAGGCACUAAUUUAUCUUAGGUACCAAUAUCAUUCCCAUUUUCGAGAGGGGUAAACCCAGUCCCAGAGAGUUAAGGCACCCGACCAGGGCCCCCAAUUCCUGGCAAACAAGAGGCGUUUGCUAAGUAUUUGUUGAGUGGAUGAAGUCGAGGGGGGAGUGACUCGCUCAAGAGCAUCAGCAGAGUCAGAUCUGAACCCAGGUCUGACCCCGAAGCCCCUUGGUUUCUCUGCCUCGACUGAACUCUGCAGCCUUGGGACCGACGGACAAGCACAGCUGACAUAUUUACCCCUCACGGGCAUCAUGAGAUGUGACCAGCUUUCCGGGGCUCCACGCUGUUUCCUUUCACCCCGAGAAAGGCAAAAGCAGCCCCUGACAGCCAGGAGCCGGCCUGGCCCUCCCAGCUAGGCCACGGUGUGCUCCUGUGGAGCACAAAAAAUUUCACAGAUCACCAGCAUCAGACAAGGCCACUCGAUGACUGUGAUGGAUUAAGACAAAAAACAAGACCGCUCUGUAAUCGUGUCUGAACACAGACAAAAAAAUGAACGUGGUCCAAACCACAAAAAUGAUUGAAUGUCCCUUUAUCCUGGCUAAAUGAGUGACAGCUGCUUCUUUGCCAAUCACAGCUUUAGCUUCAAUUCAUCCCACUUCCCUUCUAGACUAAAAUGAUGACGGUACCCAAUCACAGAAUCACCCCUGCUUUGUGAUGGCAUCCAACCCAGAGCAAAGCUCCUCUCCCUGGAGCCGUCCUCCCCAGGAGCACCUGACGCCAGCCUGAGUCCCUUCCAGCCCUUCCUCGCCCCCUCGCUGGGGCGCCCCGCAGUUUCUUGAGGACGCCUACCACAGCAUGGCUUGCCAAGCGGUUCCACAUCCACACCCGGGACCCGAACCAGCAAACCCCAGGCUGCUGAAGCCGAACGUGGAAACAAGACACCAAAAGCAAGAAUCAGCACAAAAAAGGGCAACAGAAAUAAUAAGUAUGCGACAUGUGGAAGUGUUAGCUAGUCUUGCGCUGGUAAUCACAUUGCAAUAAAUGAAUGUAUCAAAUCGA